UGGGGGGUUGUCCUGAUUCUUAACUGAUGCAGAAGGACCCAGCCCACCACGGCCAGCACCAUCUCAAAGCCAGCACUGUUACUGGCAGUUGGUCCUGGACUUCAAAAGAAAACUAGCUGAAAGGCAGCAAAGAAUGUUCCUCCAUAAUUUCUGCUGCACUUCCUUGGCUGUAACAGCUGAUCGCUGGCUUGAGCACUUGGCAAAGAACGAGGUGCCACCCCGAGCUCUGAGCAUUUCAUUGAACCUUCAUAGCAACGGUCCUAGGAGGUGGCAGCUAUUAUUAUCUGCAUUUUACAGAGCCUAGUUAAAGGUAACUCAGCCCAAGAACUGCUCCAGCCCCGAUGCACAAGGCCUGCCACUGAAGGGCCCGUCAUGGUGUGGAACGAUGAACGAAAUGCGUAUUUGUUACUGGAAGCGCAUUCUGACCUCCUCUCAGCUCCUGAGACCUUGUGUGUUCAGUCAGAAGAAUUCAGCUACGUACCACGUGGACCUUCUUUUUUAACAUAGUAAAGUGUGAAGGGGAGAGAAGAGAUGUCUCUGAAUAAAGAAGCAAACAUCAAGGAGGCAAGCUGAACAAUCUUCUAAAGAGGUGGAGACUGGUAGCCCCGGGGCUGAAUCGCUCUGAGCUGGAUAGGAAGGAGUGCGCCUACUCACUGGAACUCAGCUUCAUUCUGAAGGAAAGCACAAUCUCUCCCCUACACAGGUAUCCAGUAGUCCUGGUGUGGCCCUGAUUGGCAGGAGAGGUGUAUGUGGGUGGGUACAUUCUAUUCAAUUCAGGACGUUCACCCAGCAUCCUGCACACAGGUAGCCAGAGUCUACACCCAAGAGUGAGGUAGGCCAUUGCACAGCUCCAGAGCCACCAUUUAUAGGUGUACAGCUACUUUCGAGAGCCUCACAAAUACCCUUCGAGUUGUAUAUGACCCCUAGCUUUAUAGACUAACCCACUGAAUUAGUAAACAGCUCAAUGGGUAAAGGAUGCUAUAUUCCUUUCUCACUGUAUCAAUUGCAUUGUCUCGGUUUUGUUUCCUUCAUCCUGAAUUCAUCUGCCUCCAGUCUCCUACUUAGCAGGAGCCAUCUUAGCAUGGAGGAUGAGUCUCUCUGUGAGUAGCCCCCAGAUUGUCCUGCUCGGUGUCAUCUCUUGGGAUUCCCACUUCUGUUCUGGGGCCCAGCCAUAUCAUCAAAUUCACAGUGUCAUUUCUCCUGGUGUAGAUGUGCACACAUUGUUCCUAUAACCAUAAAUAGUGGUCAAGUAUUUUGUGGAUACUCCUUUAUUGGAAUUUGUCUCGUGGUUUUUUUUUUAUCAUCAUCACCACCACACUGAUCAAUGAAUUGCCAUACUGUUCAUCUAAAGUUGAGGAUAAAUUAUACUAACAUGUUUUAUCAAAAUUAAUAGAGAUCUGGCUGAAGUAGCAUUUGCAUCUUCUCUACUGUCAGACCACCAUCUCUCCUCUCUGUCCUCCCUACUGUGUUCUUUGGAAGGACAGCAUCAUCAUAGUUCAUAACCAAUAGAUAGAGUGUAUGUCCCGCCUCCUUAAAAGGGGACAUCUAUUCAAGUUAUUAAAAUCAAAAUUUGAAAGCAUUUAUGUCCUCUUAAAAACCAGUUUUCGCCAGGCGUGGUGGCGCAUGCCUUUAGUC